CAGCCUCCCCCCAUCUGCCCACCUUCCAGGCUCACUUCUCCGACUCACCUGGCUUUCGGUGCCCUCCGGCGGCGCGGCCCGCCCCCCUGCGGACCCCCCAACCCGGCCGUCGUGCCCUGGAGGAUAUGGGUUACAGACCGUGCGGAGGCACCAGCUCCGCGGGCGGCUGUCCUGGCUCAAGUAGAAGAAAACCACCGGGGCCAGCGCCGGGUCCACAGUCUGCCGGGUCUGCCUGCCUUUCCCCCACAGCGUCAAGAAGCCCCAGGGCUGAAUCCCUUUCUCAAGCACAUGCCUGGUACCAGGGGAAGGGAACUGAGGACACACACAGUCAAGCGAAGACUGGCUAGAGAGGUAGGAGACACCAAACGCACCCCCUUUCACAGCUGUGCCUGCACCUCCUGGAGGAAAAGGAAGGCUUGGCGGUUUUUAUUGUACCCUGAAGACCCCAGAAGGAACCAGAUGUGGGACAGGAGGAGGCUGCAGAAAAGUGCCAGCCUUCCAUGCAGCAGAAAGGAAUCAGAUUUGGAGAAUGACUUCCAGCCCAACAGAUGUUCCAAAUGAAAGAGGACUCUCCGUGAACUGGUUGGUGUGAAAGCAGGGGCGUGGACAAUAUGACCUCCUGCAGGAAGGGCCCCAUACUGGUAAGGCUGGGGGGCUGGGUGGACACCCCCAAAAUGAGCAUCCCUGGUCCUAAGAAUGGCAGCUCCCAUGAUGUACCAGAGCAUAUGCAAAUGUUACCAUUCCUUGAAAAAUAAAGGCUCAUGUAAAGCAUCCCCUUCCUCUUCCCUAGCUUAAAACAGGAGACAAUGGGAAGAAAGAGAGCAGGCCCCUUUCUUAACCCCACUGAGGGCAAGGACUAGCCCC
ensembl:lncRNA